rnacentral:rRNA from 1 species
UACGUAGGGUGCGAGCGUUGUCCGGAUUUAUUGGGCGUAAAGAGCUCGUAGGCGGUUUGUCGCGUCGGCCGUGAAAUCUCCACGCUUAACGUGGAGCGUGCGGUCGAUACGGGCAGACUUGAGUUCGGUAGGGGAGACUGGAAUUCCUGGUGUAGCGGUGAAAUGCGCAGAUAUCAGGAGGAACACCGGUGGCGGAGGCGGGUCUCUGGGCCGAUACUGACGCUGAGGAGCGAAAGCGUGGGGAGCGAACAGG